CAGAUUUGCAACAUGCUGAGAAAGAAGCAUGAGGAAGCCAAAGAAAUAUUAGUUCGAGCUAUUGUCAACAAUAACAAUUUGCUGAUGCUUAACCAUCCCAUCUAUGACGAGAAGAUAUCCUUACUUUCUCUGAUGUUAAGUUCUUUUUUUCUUUGUUCGGUUUUUAUUGUGUUGGAAAUUCCUUCAUGAUUGAGAACAUCCGUAAGAUUCAGAGUUUCGCUUCCCAACUGAUGUCCAAGGAGCUUCCAGCAUGAUUAGUGAGUGGCAGCAACAGUUUUCAUAUUAAGGGAAAGGCUAGAUGUUCUCUUUCAUCAUGGCUAAGUGGUGACGGCACGGUUAGACACUCACGUGUGAUGCUUCAUAGGUUGAAUUGGAUUUAUCAUUUGAACUGCCUACUUGCAAAUAUUCUCAAGCUGAUUUCUUGUCAGCUCAUGCAUGAGCAAUAUCAUUUCUGAUAAAUAAAUAAGGCUAAUUGUUAGUAAACACAUUGUUGCACACACUGUACACAAAUUAUUUCUUGAACUGAAAUUGUGUUUUGAAGUCAAGAUUUGAGUUUUAAAAAUUUUGAAUUGAAAUCAUGACUUCAAGACACGUUUUCAGUUCAAAAACUGAAUUGUGUGUAUUUUUUGUGUAAUAGAGCAGUGUGUAAUAAAUACUGCCCAAUAGAUAAUAACCAUGAUUUGAAUGCUUACAAGGUACCUAUUCUUUGUC